rnacentral:rRNA from 1 species
AUACUCCACUUCCCCCCUUCUCGAGUCCGGCCUACAGUGAGGAGACCGGAGCCAGAGGGGCGGGCGAGCGCGAGAGCGAGUGGGCGGCGGCGGGCGGUGGAUGGCGAUGGCGGGCGGCGGGGGACUGAACCGGUCAUCAUCGCGGGGGCAGCUGCCGCCGCAGGAGCUGCUCGACGAUCUCUGCAGCCGGUUCGUGCUGAACGUGCCCAAGGAGGACCUGGAGUCCUUCGAGCGGAUCCUGUUCCUGCUGGAGCAGGCGCACUGGUUCUACGAGGACAACUCCGUGGAGCACAACCCCUCCCUCAAGUCCCUCUCCUUCAAGGACUUCACCUCCCUAAUGUUCAACAGCUGCGCCGCUCUCAGGCCCUACCGCGCGCACCUCGACGACAUCUACAAGGACUUCACCCACUACAAGUUCCGGGUCCCCGUCUCCGGCGCCAUCAUCCUCGAUGACAACUAUGACAGGUGCUUACUUGUGAAAGGAUGGAAGUCUAGUGCCAGCUGGAGUUUCCCCCGCGGAAAGAGGAGCAAAGAUGAAGAGGAUCAUACUUGUGCAGUUAGAGAAGUUCUGGAGGAGACUGGGUGUGAUGUUUCUAAGCUUUUGAAAAUGGAUGACCACAUUGAAGUUUCAAUUGGACAACAAAGAGUUCGACUCUAUAUUAUUACGGGUGUUAAGGAAGAUACUGUUUUCGCACCUCAAACUAAGAAAGAGAUCAGUGAGAUCUCAUGGCACAGAAUUGAUGAUCUUCUACCUGCUAGUGAUGAUGCAAUAUCUCGUGGAGUGAAUGGGAUGAAGCUUUAUAUGGUUGCACCAUUUUUGACGGGUCUGAAAUCAUGGAUAGGCACACAUCGGUCCCAAGUAUAUCAGAAGCCAGAUACAUCUGCUAGAGGUACUGUGUGGAAAGCGAAGAAUCCCUCGGGUGUCUUUGUGCCUGUUGAGAACCCUGUUAUUACUAGAGCAGGAUCCGACAUGCAGAAUCCUGUUAUUAGUAGAGCAGGAUCUGGCACGCAGCACGUCGACAACCGCCCUGGCAAAAGCUUCAGAAGCUUCAGGUUCGAUACGGCCAGUAUUCUGCAGUCAAUGGAUGCUUCCUUUCUGCAUACCUAGGAUCCUGACAGAUCAUCAACUCCUGUACCCUUGAUGUGUAUAGACUAUGGAAUGGCGUUGUCGCUCGUUGUUAACUGGAAUCCACGACGCCACGAUGUUUCGUCUCCCCGUGCUGUGUUUAGUUGGUAUCUGUAAUCUAGAACACUAUAAUUGUCACACCUUUCUUGAGCUGUUAUAAAUGUCAUGUCUUUUGCACACUUAAGUUCUUGCUUUUGCUUGAGGUGAUAUAUGUGAUGUCUGAAAUUGUUUGCGUGGUAACACUGGAUGGUACAGGAAGAAUUCUUGUGCGUUAUGGUCC